UACAGAGGUCCCAAGCGUUGUUCGGAUUUACUGGGCGUAAAGGGUGCGUAGGUGGUUGGAUAAGUCUGAUGUGAAAUCUCGGAGCUUAACUCCGAAACGGCAUUGGAUACUAUCCAGCUUGAGAGUUGGAGGGGGGACUGGAAUUCUCGGUGUAGCAGUGAAAUGCGUAGAUAUCGAGAGGAACACCAGUGGCGAAGGCGAGUCCCUGGACAACUUCUGACACUGAGGCACGAAAGCCAGGGGAGCAAACGGG
rnacentral:rRNA from 1 species